UACGUAGGGGGCAAGCGUUGUCCGGAAUCAUUGGGCGUAAAGAGCGUGUAGGCGGCCCGACAAGUCCGCCGUGAAAGUCCGAGGCUCAACCUCGGAAUGCCGGUGGAAACUGUCGGGCUUGAGUCCGGAAGAGGCGAGUGGAAUUCCUGGUGUAGCGGUGAAAUGCGCAGAUAUCAGGAGGAACACCAAUGGCGAAGGCAGCUCGCUGGGACGGCACUGACGCUGAGACGCGAAAGCGUGGGGAGCAAACAGG
rnacentral:rRNA from 1 species